UACGUAGGGGUCGAGCGUUGUCCGGAAUCAUUGGGCGUAAAGCGCGUGUAGGCGGCCCGGUAAGUCCGCUGUGAAAGUCCAAGGCUCAACCUUGGGAUGCCGGUGGAUACUGUCGGGCUCGAGUCCGGAAGAGGAGUGUGGAAUUCCUGGUGUAGCGGUGAAAUGCGCAGAUAUCAGGAGGAACACCAAUGGCGAAGGCAGCACUCUGGGACGUGACUGACGCUGAGACGCGAAAGCGUGGGGAGCAAACAGG
rnacentral:rRNA from 1 species